UACGCAGGCAGCAAGCGUUGUUCGGAGUUACUGGGCGUAAAGAGUGCGUAGGUGGUCCCCUAAGUUCGGUGUGAAAUCUCCCGGCUCAACUGGGAGGGUGCGCCGGAAACUGGGGGGCUUGAGUGUGGGAGAGGAAAGCGGAAUUCCUGGUGUAGCGGUGAAAUGCGUAGAUAUCAGGAGGAACACCGGUGGCGAAGGCGGCAUCCUGGACCAAUUCUGACGCUGAGGAGCGAAAGCCAGGGGAGCAAACGGG
rnacentral:rRNA from 1 species